GAGGGGUGUAGGGGACUGUCACCAGUCUUCAAGUAACUGUCCGGUAUGGGCUUCAAUUAAGUCCAACAAGGCUUAUAACCAAAUGCAGUCAAGGAACUCUGGUCUUCUCGGAAUCUGUGAGGGAUGCUCCAAAAGCCAAUAGGUUUCAUGAAAGGUAAAAACACAGAGACUGAUGGCUGAAACCCUCCAGGCAAAGGGAACUGGAAAUCAACCAGAAGCUGGAGUACAACUGCUCCUCGCUAGUGCCCCUGACAAGCUAGAUUUCUCAUUCAGUGGACUGAGGCAAGUAGAAACCAUUUCAAGUCAGCCCCGCAGAACCAAGAGAGCUCUGGGAGAAGCAGGCACUUUUCAGAGUCCAGCAACCCUCUAAAGUAGCUAUUUGCCAAAAGUUACCCUUUGGACAGUGGGAUUGGAUUCUGAACCACUUUAAUUCAACCCUGUUCUAUUUUAAAUCCAUGCUUUCCAGUGACUGUCCUCAAGAAGGGCUUGGGGAGAGAAAAUGAGAAGGCCAUGGAUACCUCUGCCAAGCUUGUGGAACAGCUAAUUAGAUUUUAAUUUAAUAUACUGUUUGUUUGAUUUUUGAAAUGUGAAGGUUACAAACUAAAAAUAAAACAAGAACCUGAACUAUCACUGCUAAGGGGACACACUAUCAGUGAGUUAAAGCUACA